rnacentral:rRNA from 1 species
GACAGAGGGUGCGAACGUUGUUCGGAAUUACUGGGCGUAAAGCGCGUGUAGGCGGCAGCGCAAGUCGGGCGUGAAAUCCCACGGCUCAACCGUGGAAGUGCACUCGAAACUGCGCAGCUAUAGUCCUGGAGAGGAAGGUGGAAUGCUUGGUGUAGAGGUGAAAUUCGUAGAUAUCAAGCGGAACACCGGUGGCGAAGGCGGCCUUCUGGACAGUGACUGACGCUGAGACGCGAAAGCGUGGGGAGCAAACAGG